rnacentral:tRNA from 1 species
GUUUCUCUAGCUUAUUUGGUAAAGCACCGGUUUGUGGUACCGGAGAACAGGGUUCGAUUCCCGGGGAUACCCCA